rnacentral:rRNA from 1 species
GAUGAACGCUGGCGGCGUGCCUAACACAUGCAAGUCGAACGAAGCACCUUACCUGAUUCUUCGGAUGAAAGUUUGGUGACUGAGUGGCGGACGGGUGAGUAACGCGUGGGUAACCUGCCCUGUACAGGGGGAUAACAGCUGGAAACGGCUGCUAAUACCGCAUAAGCGCACGAGGAGACAUCUCCUUGUGUGAAAAACUCCGGUGGUACAGGAUGGGCCCGCGUCUGAUUAGCUGGUUGGCAGGGUAACGGCCUACCAAGGCAACGAUCAGUAGCCGGUCUGAGAGGAUGGACGGCCACAUUGGAACUGAGACACGGUCCAAACUCCUACGGGAGGCAGCAGUGGGGAAUAUUGCACAAUGGGGGAAACCCUGAUGCAGCAACGCCGCGUGAGUGAAGAAGUAUUUCGGUAUGUAAAGCUCUAUCAGCAGGGAAGAUAAUGACGGUACCUGACUAAGAAGCUCCGGCUAAAUACGUG